UACUAUCCCAAGAUGCCUGACGAAUAAC
rnacentral:sRNA from 1 species